CCUACGGGCGGCUGCAGUGGGGAAUAUUGGACAAUGGGGGGAACCCUGAUCCAGCCAUGCCGCGAGUGUGAAGAAGGCCCUCGGGUUGUAAAGCACUUUCAGUGAGGAAGAACGCCUGGUGGUUAAUACCCAUCAGGAAAGACAUCACUCACAGAAGAAGCACCGGCUAACUCCGUGCCAGCAGCCGCGGUAAUACGGAGGGUGCGAGCGUUAAUCGGAAUUACUGGGCGUAAAGCGCGCGUAGGUGGCUUGAUAAGCCGGUUGUGAAAGCCCCGGGCUCAACCUGGGAACGGCAUCCGGAACUGUCAAGCUAGAGUGCAGGAGAGGAAGGUAGAAUUCCCGGUGUAGCGGUGAAAUGCGUAGAGAUCGGGAGGAAUACCAGUGGCGAAGGCGGCCUUCUGGACUGACACUGACACUGAGGUGCGAAAGCGUGGGUAGCAAACAGGAUUAGAUACCCGGGUAGUC
rnacentral:rRNA from 1 species